ensembl:lncRNA
CAAACAGUUACCCUCGGUACAUUUAACAUUGAGCCCAGCAGGCGACAACAAUGGUGUCAGCAAGACUCUUCUCGGUCUGAACGUUGCUAGAUUUCUCUUUGGCUGAUUUCAGUGUGCUUGGGCAGCACAAAGUUAAAACAAUUGGGAGGGUUUUUUUUUUCCUUUUUUCCAUUGUGCCCAGCAGGUCUCAACUCAUAUAAAGACACAAAGGUUGCAGGUGCUUCAUGGUACUGCACAGCUCUUAUAUUGACAAACUGCUGCUUGAUUGUCAAGAAUGGGAAGCUGGAGUCUUAAGCAUGCUAAAUCCUUUGCUAUGAUGGUACUUCGGUGAGGAGUGUUUCUUUUCAAGGUGCUGCCCUAUUUUCUAUUUCUGACUCAGAGAAAAACAGCGAUAGAACCUGCAGCCGAAUGCCCCACUUCACCUCAGUCCUUAAAGGAUAGGAUGUACUUCCUGGAUACGGAAGAGAAAGAAAAAGAAGACUUGUGUGUUGGAUCUUUGCCCCAGCAACGAACUAAUAUCAGAGAACCACAAAACAGAAUGAAGCUAGAGGAUAAACCACACAGACUGAAACCUCCGGACUAAUCAUUAUUAGACCCAGACCUGGACUACCAACUUCACCUGUUUCUUCAAAUAUGCAUCUGUUUUGGCUCAUUAGACGCUAAUGGUGGUAGCUUCUAAAUUAUUCUACAUUAUUCCUGUCCAGAGAAUAACUCUUAGUAGACCAAAUACAGCUGACAUUGUGUUCAUACCCUGCUGUCUAAACUUUUUGAUGGGCAUCAACUCUUGCUUCACAUUCUUAUGUCAGAUUAAAACUUUUCAAUUAGCUCAUUUCCACAAAGUACGGAGCCCUACAAACCAAGAAAAUGUGAACAUCAGCACAUUCAUAUAUAGGUGAUUUACAAAUUUCUCAGUUUCUAGACUGAGAAACAGGAGCAAAAUACAUAUACUAGUCAUAUCUAUAAUCACAACAUUGCAAAUAAUAGUAAAGCAAAUAAUACAGUUGCUUUAUUACUUGUGCUGUCGUUGCAAGACACGCACUCAAGUAACAUUAAGUUGUUACCUGACUAUUAGAGGAACAUUUGCAGACUACAUCCUAUAGGUUUUAGGUCAAUUUUGGAGGACAACUCUUUUUCAUAUUUCCAUAGAAAAAGUUUUGGAACCUUACACAAGCACCUUGAGGCAACUUGCUGUGAUUUGGUACUAUAUGGAAUAAAAUGGAAUUGAAUUGAAUUACUUUUCCUGACAUAAUAAAAUCCUCUCACAACAUCAGAAAAUUAAAGUUUGUGAGGUUCUCUGCUUGGGUAAUAAGUUUACAGUCCCUAUUGUAACAACAGAUCCAUUGAGAAAUAAAAUAUCAUACGGUAGAAGGUAUGAGCUCUGAGAAAUGGUCUUACUGAUGUGUGGUGUAGUGAUGUGCUUACUUUGAAAAAAAAUUCAGUAAAUGGGUUUUUUAAAAAAGGAUAUGUGCUUCAAUGCAACAUAUCUAGGACUGCUUUCUUCCAUUUGUGCAAUAUCUCUCAAAUUUGAAAUGAAGCUGAAAAAAUAGUUCAUGCAUUUAUUACUUCUGGGCUGGAAUUCUGGAAUGUGUUAUUAUGUCCUUAAAAUGUAUUGAAAAGCCUUUAGUUGAUCCAAAUUCUGGAGCAAGACUACUGACAGGCUAAAAAGACAGAGCAGGAAAAAAUACAGAAAUGAACUUAAAAUCCUGCUCCUCACAUAGAAGCUGGUGAAUAAUCAGGCCUUAUCUUGUCAUAAUAGCCUUAUAGUGCAAUAUCACCCCAUUAGAGCACUUCCCUCUCUGACUGCAGGCUUACUAGUAGUUCCUUGAGUAUAUAAAAGUAGAAAUUGAAUGGGAGAAAGUAGAAUGGGAGGCAGAGCCUUCAGCUUUAAGGGCCCUCUUCUAUUGAACCAGCUUUCCAGUUAGGAUAUAGAACACCCUCUAUACUUUUAAGAUUAGGCUUAAAACUUUCCUUUUUGAUUAACCAUAUAGUUAGGGCUGGAUCAGGUGACCCUGAAUCCUCACUCAGUUACUCUGGAAUACGUGUGCUGGUGGAUUCCCCAUGCUGGGGAUGCAUUAAGUGUUUUUUCUUCAGUCCUCUUUUUCACCUCACUAUGUGUGCCAUUAUUAGUUAUUAUGAAUUUCUGUCUCUCUUCCACAGCAUGUCUUUUGUCCUGUUUUUCUCCUCUCCCCAAGCAGCCACAUCAGACAGCCACCCCUCCUUCAGCCGGGUUCUGCAGGAGGUCGCCAAAGUAUUUGCUCAUAGAGGGUCAUUAGAUCGUUAAGAUUUUCUCUGUUUCUUUGUGUUAUUGUAGGGUCUUUACCUUACAUUAUAAAGCACCUUGAGGCAGCCGUUGUUGUGAUGUGGUGCUGCAUAAAUAUAAUCAAAUUGAAUUGUAUUGAAAAGGAGAUAGAAGAAACAUUGUGGGCAAAUAGGUUUUCAAGUAGUUUGAACUAAGAGUGAUGUCUCAUUUCCUUCUAAUCUGAUACCAAGUAACUUAAUGUGCUUUGAAAAUCAAAAUAAAAAAGUGUAUUUCAAAUUAUACCUUGAAUAAAAGACAUCAUACUACCUUUUCUUAUUUUUUAAUUAUGAAAAAUUAUCAUACAAGAAAUAAAAAAUCUGAAAAGUCAAUGGUUAUAUUUAAAAAUAUUUAAUUAACAAUCACUCAAAACACAUGUGACUGAC